rnacentral:rRNA from 1 species
GUUUCCGUAGGUGAACCUGCGGAAGGAUCAUUGCACACACGAGUUGCAGCCAACCCGCGGCGAACGAACACACUGUCCCCCCCCCUUCGGCGGGUCGCGGCGCCUCGCGGCGUCGCGGCCGGUCACAGGCUCCCUUCGUCGUCGUCCCGAGCGAGCCACGCGCUCGUUCGCGGCGCGGCGCGGGGUGUUCACCACGAUGCGUCCACCGAAUGACUGAGUCCCGAAUCGACUCGAGAGUGAGCGAGCUCCGCGCUGGUUCCCUCGCGAGUCGGAACACACAAUCGAAACAACUCUCAGCAACGGAUAUCUUGGCUCUUGCAACGAUGAAGAACGCAGCGAAAUGCGAUACGUAGUGUGAAUUGCAGAAUUCCGCGAAUCAUCGAGUCUUUGAACGCAAGUUGCGCCCGAGGCUUGUCCAAGGGCAUUUCCGCUAGAGCGUCACCGCGCCCCCCCACCGACCCACCCACUCCGGUGGUGGUCGAGUGAAAGUGGCCGUCCCGGCGGGCCCCCUCCCCUUCGGGAGAGAGGGUCCCGAAGGGUCGGCUGAAAUGGAAGGAAUCGUUCCGCCGUGGCGACACAGUCCGCGAUCGGGUGAUCCGGACUCCCUUGAUCGGGAGUCGGGAGUUUUCUAAGUGCGUGGCUGCGUCCCCCAGUCGGUUGUGGUUACCUCACGCAGGUCGAGCGCGCCCCCGCGGCGCGCGCACGUCACGCAUCAGACCUCUAAUCGGAAAAGACUACCCGCUGAG